UAGGGAAUCUUCGGCAAUGGACGAAAGUCUGACCGAGCAACGCCGCGUGAGUGAAGAAGGUUUUCGGAUCGUAAAACUCUGUUGUUAGAGAAGAACAAGGACGUUAGUAACUGAACGUCCCCUGACGGUAUCUAACCAGAAAGCCACGGCUAACUACGUGCCAGCAGCCGCGGUAAUACGUAGGUGGCAAGCGGUGUCCGGAUUUAUUGGGCGUAAAGCGAGCGCAGGCGGUUUCUUAAGUCUGAUGUGAAAGCCCCCGGCUCAACCGGGGAGGGUCAUUGGAAACUGGGAGACUUGAGUGCAGAAGAGGAGAGUGGAAUUCCAUGUGUAGCGGUGAAAUGCGUAGAUGUAUGGAGGAACACCAGUGGCGAAGGCCGCUCUCUGGUCUGUAACUGACGCUGAGGCUCGAAAGCGUGGGGAGCAAACAGG
rnacentral:rRNA from 1 species